rnacentral:lncRNA from 13 species
CUUUUUCCUUGGUGGCUCAUGAAAUAAUUGUAUGUGUCGUGAUCAGUGGCAUCUCAUGAACAGAUCUGCUGAAAUCGUCAUUGAAACAGCGUCACUGUCUAUUCCAUCUCCACUGCCACCCUUGCCUAUGUUUCCAGAGAACAGAAAUGAGAGCUUUUCAUCUGUGUUUCCUCAGAGCCUGACACAAUGUCUGGCACAGAGUGCUCAGACAAGGCUGAGAGGACGUCAAGGGCAGAAAAGAGUCCUGCUGACUAUCCUAGGGGCAGGCAACUUUCAGCCUGGACUCAGAAGACCUGCCCUUGCCCAAACCACCGGGAAGAGUGGGACCAGUGUGAGCCACAGCACAUGCAAGAGAUACACAGUAAGGAAGACUAGUUGUGAGGUGUAUGGACCCCAGACAGAGUUUGCUUUGUGACCUGCUGUACAACCCAACUUCUGGCUUAGGGCUUGGUUCUCGACAAGAGUUCAGUGAUGAAUGAAUGAAUGAAUGAAUGAAUGAAGACCUGGUUCCUGUUCUUGAGAAACUCAACUCUUCUAAGGAAGAAAUGAAGCCUACUUCUCUUGGGCGCCUGUAUGUGUUGGACAUAAUUUUAGGCUCUUCCACAUACAUCAUGGAAUCUUCUAAAACAGCCUAGAGGAGGUUGCAAUGAGCUGAAAUGGCACCACUGUACUCCUGCCUUGGAGACAAGAGCAAGACCUCGUUUUAAAAAAAAACACCAACAAUAAAAAACAAACAAACAAACA